rfam:Colletotrichum incanum strain MAFF 238704 contig882, whole genome shotgun sequence.
ACAUGAUGAUACGCCAGCUGGCACCAGUCAUAGAGUGAUUUGUACUCCCUUCUUUGAUGAAAAACGCUGCGGUCUUUUGACCAACCACUGAU